rnacentral:rRNA from 1 species
CCUACGGGAGGCAGCAGUGAGGAAUAUUGGUCAAUGGACGAGAGUCUGAACCAGCCAAGUAGCGUGAAGGAUGACUGCCCUAUGGGUUGUAAACUUCUUUUAUAUGGGAAUAAAACGUUCCACGUGUGGGAUUUUGUAUGUACCAUAUGAAUAAGGAACGGCUAACUCCGUGCCAGCAGCCGCGGUAAUACGGAGGAUCCGAGCGUUAUCCGGAUUUAUUGGGUUUAAAGGGAGCGUAGGUGGAUUGUUAAGUCAGUUGUGAAAGUUUGCGGCUCAACCGUAAAAUUGCAGUUGAAACUGGCAGUCUUGAGUACAGUAGAGGUGGGCGGAAUUCGUGGUGUAGCGGUGAAAUGCUUAGAUAUCACGAAGAACUCCGAUUGCGAAGGCAGUUCACUGGACUGCAACUGACACUGAGGCUCGAAAGUGUGGGUAUCAAACAGGAUUAGAUACCCUUGUAGUC